rnacentral:rRNA from 1 species
AGUACCAGUCAGGAUCCGGUAGCAAAGGUUUCUGUAAGUCAAACAACAACUGGAAGUGGAUUUCCUGCUCCAAAGAUUGCAGCUUUCUCAUCAAGGGGUCCAAGCUCUGUCUAUCCUGCAGUGCUCAAGCCUGACAUUACUGCACCGGGGGUGAAUAUUUUAGCAGCAGCGCCACAGGUUGGUAUUUACAAGGAACUGGGGCUCUACUUCUUCGAUUCAGGGACAUCGAUGGCUUGCCCACAUGUAUCCAGCAUUAUAGCUGUGCUCAAGUCACUCCAUCCAGACUGGUCACCUGCUGCUUUCAAAUCAGCACUAAUGACAACCGCAUACAUUACAGACAACAACGGUCUCCCGUUACUAGCUGAUGCAACCCCAAAUAAGAUUGCAGAUCCUUUUGAUUAUGGAGCUGGAUUUAUUAAUCCGACUCAGGCAAGUGAUCCUGGACUUAUAUACGACAUCAAUGCUUCAGAUUACCAGAAAUAGUUCAACUGCAUGCUUGGGUCAGAUACAAACAGUAGUUGUAUAGCAACCCAGAAAUCUUUGUUUGACCUGAAUCUCCCAUCAAUCGCCAUCCCAAAUCUCAAGUCAUCGGAAACGGUAUCAAGGACUGUCACCAAUGUGGGCCAAGCUGAUGCAGUGUAUAAAGCAUUUGUUGAGCCCUCUGCUGGAGUUGAUAUGCUGGUCAAACCUAUGGUGUUGGUGUUUGGCAAGGAUACAAGCUCACAGUCUUUCAAGGUGAGCUUCAAGGCAACACAAAAGAUCCAAGGCGAUUACUCAUUUGGUAAUUUGGUGUGGCACGAUGGAGGCAGCCAUUGGGUCCGAAUCCCGAUAGCGGUUCGUGUUGUUAUCGGUGAUCUCUAUUCAACCGUCUCCUAA